GAUGAAGAACGCAGCGAAAUGCGAUAAUUAAUGUGAAUUGCAGAAUUCAGUGAAUCAUCGAGUCUUUGAACGCACAUUGCGCCCCCUGGUAUUCCGGGGGGCAUGCCUGUCCGAGCGUCAUUGCUGCCCUCAAGCACGGCUUGUGUGUUGGGCCCCGUCCUCCGAUCCCGGGGGACGGGCCCGAAAGGCAGCGGCGGCACCGCGUCCGGUCCUCGAGCGUAUGGGGCUUUGUCACCCGCUCUGUAGGCCCGGCCGGCGCUUGCCGAUCAACCCAAAUUUUUUAUCCAGGUUGACCUCGGAUCAGGUAGGGAUACCCGCUGAACUUAAGCAUAUCAAUAAGCGGAGGA
rnacentral:misc_RNA from 1 species